GAUGAACGCUAGCUACAGGGCUUAACGACAAGUGCAAGUCGAGGGGUCUGCUUCGGCAGACGACCGGCGCACGGGUGAGUAACGCGUAUCCAACCUGCCCUUCUCAUUGGGAUAGCCUUUCGAAAGAGAGAUUAAUACCGAAUAACAUAGUAAAGUUGCAUGAUCAUACUAUGAAAGCUCCGGCGGAGAAGGAUGGGGAUGCGUUCCAUUAAGUAGUAGGCGGGGUAACAGCCCACCUAGCCGACGAUGGAUAGGGGUUCUGAGAGGAAGGUCCCCCACACUGGAACUGAGACACGGUCCAG
rnacentral:rRNA from 1 species